UGGUCAGGGUGAUGACCAAGAACCCGAUGGUCACUCUGACAGAGCUCCAGAGUUCCUCUGCAGGGAUGGUUGUCCUUCUGGAAGGUUCUGGUUCAAAAGACGUUAACACCGCAAAACUGUUAGAAAAUACAUUUUUAACCAGUUAUGCCCACUAGGAUGUGAUAAUAUAACAAAUCACCAUUAUGGUACAAGUAUGGCAAAAUUGGGCAUGUUCUAAAGUUUUAUAAGAAAAUGACUUAAUUGUUGUGAUGCAAUUAGACUACUAUAGUCAGGAUUCUCCAAACUUUUCCCAAGUGAGCUACUGUCCUGUAGGUUUUUGCUCCAACUAUAGUCAAGCACAGCUGAUUCUAAUAAUUAGUUGGCUGAUUAACUGAAUCAGGUUAGUUACAACUGGGGUUGGAUUGAAAACCUACAGGUCUUUCAGUCAACAACGGAUUUAAACCAAUGAUGCUCUUGAAUAUGGUCAUGUGAUGUGGAGAGAAACCUAUCCCAUUGGGCAGUAGCGUCAUGAAUCAAUCAAUCAAUCAUCGACAGGUCCGUCUGCCCUGCUAAAAAUUCACGAUUUAUAAUCUACUGAUUGUGCUCGGGCAUUUGAAAUCAAUCAAUCAAGUCGGGCUAGUUUUCUACUGCUCCUCCCAAUGGAAGCCCCCAUUGACAACGGGAGGAUCAAAUGAUUGUGUGAACUGUAUGUGUGUGUGAGAGAGAAGGUGUGUUUGUGUUUCCAGGAGGUUGGGGUUGAAGAGGGGCCUUCAGAUGGAGAUGGGACACACGAUGAUCUUGUCUUCCAGCAUGACGCUGGUUACCAGGAAGAAGAUGUACAGUAAAAACAUGAGGCCUCCCAGCACCUUGCUCAUCUUCCACUUGCAGGAGGCGAUGGAGAUGAUGACGAAGAGUAACAUGAGGAAGAGGAGCACGAUGGCAUAACAGGAUGAGUUCCGAAAACUCCCUCACAGCCCCGAGGCCUGCAACAUUGUGGCAGGAGUAUUUAGCAGCAUUGAUUGCCACCACUGGGGCAUCCCGGGGUACUGCACUCAGCCCAGCCAGGUUCAGACAGUCAACAUCUGGUGCAUCGUUACCUGUAGGAGGGAUGGAAUGGAGGGCCCAGAUCCCUGUCGUCCAUCAUGGCUUUGGCCUCACCCUGGAUGUCCUUGCCCAGCUGUCUGACCUCACAGCCCGUUCUCUGGGACAGCUUGUCAGCCAAGGCCUUGGUCAGGUCCUCACUGGACGAGAUCAGGAU